GAUGGAAGCUGAUAUAAGGAGGCAGUUGUGGGAGUGCUAGGUGGUGGAAUUUUGGAAAAUGAAGACAUCAUGGUGGAUGAGGUGUCCGAGACAGUUCUACACAGGCUGCUGUGACAUCUGUAACAGAACGCAUUGUGGUUAUGAUCAGACAAAUGCCGAGUCCAGAGUCUGUCAUCCAGAUGAAUGACCAAGGCAGGUGCAUCAGUUGCCGAAAGUCCUUUUAUUCUGGGAAUCUCUGCGCUUCUACUGGGAAUAUGAAACGUGAAGAUCGGCAUCCAUAAAUAAAAGUCUUUAAGCCAUUACAGUAUGUAAAUGUCUUCUAUACAAUGUGGUGGGACUAUGUAGAACAGUGUCCUGAGUCUAGUGUCCAUAACCUCUGACAGUUGAAACCAAUACUUGGGAUUCCGCAAGCACUGGAAUGCACACUCACAGUAAGAAAGAAAAACAAACUGUGAUUUAGUGCUUUUCAUUGUAAGUGGCUGCAAGCAGAAUUAAAGUAAAUACUAUUAGCCACCCGUCAAACAAGACCAACUAUUUACACAUAGAGGUGAAAAGCAACUGUAAUCUCUAAUCUCAUGUUUAUAUGUAGAUGUAGCUCUUUAUAUUUUAUAGUUAUAUGUACAUGUAGCUCUUUAUAUGUAAAACUGAUAUAUUAAAUGCAGAUAUCCACAAACUGCUAGCAACUGCCACCGGUGUAGUCAUGCUUUUCUUUGAUUCAUUAGAACCUGGUGACUAGAGGUGUUGAAAGAGCAGCCUGCAAUGUUGAAUCACCUCCAGAUUCUGUUAUAUAAUAGAUGGGCACAGGACUAUGGUUAGGUGAACUAAUAUAAUUCUUAUAUUAGUUUGUAGGAAUGAAAGACAUCUUGUUAACUACUUAUGGACUACCGGGAGUUAAAUCUGCAGAUGCCUUUUGUUUGUAUUUUUAGAUGUGAAGGCAUUGUGAGAAACAGAUGCAGCAAUGUUAAAUAUGUAAUUUGCCUGUGCAAACUUUGUCUGUGCCAGAAAUAAAGCAGAGGGACCCUCAUAAUUAUUGUAGAAAAUACACAAACAGGAGUCACUUUAAUUUGUUUUUGAUUAUAUCUCCUUUAUUAAGCAAACAUGAAUAAAGCAAACAUGAACUUG